AUUGAACGCUGGCGGCAUGCUUUACACAUGCAAGUCGAACGGUAACAGGCCGCCAGGUGCUGACGAGUGGCGAACGGGUGAGUAAUGCAUCGGAACGUGCCCAGUCGUGGGGGAUAACUACUCGAAAGAGUAGCUAAUACCGCAUACGAUCUAUGGAUGAAAGCGGGGGACCGUAAGGCCUCGCGCGAUUGGAGCGGCCGAUGUCAGAUUAGGUAGUUGGUGGGGUAAAGGCUCACCAAGCCAACGAUCUGUAGCUGGUCUGAGAGGACGACCAGCCACAUGUGGGAUAGGACACGCCCCAAACCCCCAGGGGAGGCAGGGGGGGGAAUUUUUGGGCAAGGGGCAGAGGCCUAUCCCAGAAAUGCGGGGGGAAGGAAAAAGCCCUUGGGUUGGUAAACUGUUUUUGUACGGAAGAAAACGGCUUUGGUUAAUCCCCGGGGUAAAGGCGGGACCCGAAAAAAAAAGCCCCGGUAACCUCCGG
rnacentral:rRNA from 1 species